rnacentral:rRNA from 1 species
AGUGAACGCUGGCGGUAGGCCUAACACAUGCAAGUCGAACGGCAGCACAGUAAGAGCUUGCUCUUACGGGUGGCGAGUGGCGGACGGGUGAGGAAUACAUCGGAAUCUACUUUUUCGUGGGGGAUAACGUAGGGAAACUUACGCUAAUACCGCAUACGACCUACGGGUGAAAGCAGGGGAUCUUCGGACCUUGCGCGAUUGAAUGAGCCGAUGUCGGAUUAGCUAGUUGGCGGGGUAAAGGCCCACCAAGGCGACGAUCCGUAGCCGGUCUGAGAGGAUGAUCAGCCACACUGGAACUGAGACACGGUCCAGACUCCUACGGGAGGCAGCAGUGGGGAAUAUUGGGCAAUGGGCGCAAGCCUGAUCCAGCCAUACCGCGUGGGUGAAGAAGGCCUUCGGAUUGUAAAGCCCUUUUGUUAGGAAAGAAAAGCAGCAGGUUAAUACCCCGCUGUUCUGACGGUACCCAAAGAAUAAGCACCGGCUAACUUCGUG